rnacentral:rRNA from 1 species
AUACGUAGGUGACAAGCGUUAUCCGGAUUUACUGGGCGUAAAGGGCGUGUAGGCGGUCUUGCAAGUCAGAAGUGAAAUUCCUGAGCUCAACUCGGGCGCUGCUUCUGAAACUGCAGGACUUGAGUGCUGGAGGGGAUAGCGGAAUUCCUAGUGGAGCGGUAAAAUGCGCAGAUAUUAGGAAGAACACCGGUGGCGAAGGCGGUUAUCUGGACAGUAACUGACGCUGAGGCGCGAAAGCGUGGGGAGCAAACAGGAUUAGAGACCCUGGUAGUCCACGCCGUAUACGAUGAAUACUAGGUGUAGGGGGUAUCGACUCCCUCUGCGCCGCAGUUAACACAAUAAGUAUUCCGCCUGGGGAGUACGGCCGCAAGGUUGAAACUCAAAUGAAUUGACGGGU